GCUCCAAAAUUAUUGAAUCCAAAGAGUAGAAUAAACUCACAUAUAUCUUCGGGUGGAAAAUUUCAUAUUUGGAAUCAGGAUCAUGAAGACUUCAACCUCGGUUUCGACUCUCUGUUUCUUUAUUAUCUUGUGUUCUUCUAUCCAGGUAUCCGAUGCCUAUGUGAUGUCAGGUAAUACUGGGAAUGUAGGUAAAAGAUUCGUGGAGCACAAUAGAAAUAUUCAAGACAUCCGCAGCCUGGCUGAAAAGCGCUGUGGUUCUCAACAGCAGGCACGUGACAUGCAAGCUGAAAGUAAAAAACUACAGGAAAGAGACUUCGAAUUUUCUCAUUAAUGAUACAAUAUUGAACAUUCCGAAAGGCAUAGGAGAAGAUUAACAGUGUUUCUGUUUUAAAAAACUGUAACAUUAUUCUUGAAACGAAGUUCGAUUCAGUUGAUUUCAAAAAGGAACGUAACUUGCCUUAUUUAAUGGCUUUUUCUUUAGGUAUAUGGAAAUUUAUCAAGCGUGUGAUUUGACAAUAAAUUUGUGAAUGGAA